UACAUUGUGUGCCUGGCUCCCUGUAUGCCAUUUGUAGACCCCAUCACAAUGGUGAUGGCCUUAUCAAAUGGCGUAUGAGGAGUCAUGCAUGCUGUGU
rnacentral:pre_miRNA from 1 species